ACGAAAAGCGAUUGGAGGAAGAAAAUGACAAAUAUAAGUUGUUUAAAAAUAACGGCGUAGUUGUUACCGUUUACACUGUUGGAAUACCCGGUGGUUAAAACACAGUAAUACGCGUUGUUGCACGGUAGCACACGGUAUUGCACCAAUUAUUGACUCUUACGUAAGAAGGCACUACUCAAUAAUGGUUACAGUAAUUACUGUUCAGUGUUUUAUUUUAUUGAUUCAAUAAUUGCUGCGUUGAUAUUUUAUAUUGCUGUUGUUUUAAUAAUUG
rnacentral:lncRNA from 1 species